UAACACGUAGGUAAUCUACCUUUGAGUGGGGAAUAACAAUCGGAAACGAUUGCUAAUACCGCAUAAUGCAGCGGCACCGCAAGGUGACAGUUGUUAAAGGAGCAAUCCGCUUAAAGAGGAGCCUGCGGCAGAUUAGCUAGUUGGUAAGGUAAUGGCUUACCAAGGCUACGAUCUGUAACCGACCUGAGAGGGUGGUCGGUCACACUGACACUGAAUAACGGGUCAG
rnacentral:rRNA from 1 species